AGUCUUCAUAACCAAUAUUAAAAAAAAGAAAAUAACCAGGUUAAUGUGGCUACAUUGGGAACACAGGAUUUGCUUCCAUCACUGUAAUUUUAUUGCAGUGGUGACAAGGAGAACUGCAACCCUU